rnacentral:rRNA from 1 species
AUACGGAGGGUGCAAGCGUUAUUCGGAAUCACUGGGCGUAAAGGACGCGUAGGCGGGUUGGCAAGUCAGAUGUGAAACCCUACAGCUUAACUGUAGAACUGCAUUUGAAACUGCUAACCUAGAGUAUGGGAGGGGGAGAUGGAAUUAGUGGUGUAGGGGUAAAAUCCGUAGAUAUCACUAGGAAUACCGAAAGCGAAGGCGAUCUCCUGGAACAUAUCUGACGCUAAGGCGUGAAAGCGUGGGGAGCAAACAGGAUUAGAAACCCUAGUAGUCC